rnacentral:rRNA from 1 species
AAAUUGAAGAGUUUGAUCAUGGCUCAGAUUGAACGCUGGCGGCAGGCCUAACACAUGCAAGUCGAACGGUAACAGGAAGAAGCUUGCUUCUUUGCUGACGAGUGGCGGACGGGUGAGUAAUGUCUGGGAAACUGCCUGAUGGAGGGGGAUAACUACUGGAAACGGUAGCUAAUACCGCAUAACGUCGCAAGACCAAAGAGGGGGACCUUCGGGCCUCUUGCCAUCGGAUGUGCCCAGAUGGGAUUAGCUAGUAGGUGGGGUAACGG